UACUUUGGUGGCGACCGGCGCACGGGUGCGUAACGCGUAUGCAACCUACCUUUAACAGGGGCAUAACACUGAGAAAUUGGUACUAAUUCCCCAUAACAUUCGAGAAGGCAUCUUCUUGGGUUAAAAACUCCGGUGGUCAAAGAUGGGCAUGCGUUGUAUUAGCUAGUUGGUGAGGUAACGGCUCACCAAGGCAACGAUACAUAGGGGGACUGAGAGGUUAACCCCCCACAUUGGUACUGAGACACGGACCAA
rnacentral:rRNA from 1 species